rnacentral:snRNA from 1 species
GUGCUUAUUUCGACAGCACAUAUAUUAAAAUUGGAAUGAUAUAGAGAAGACUAGCCUGGCCCCUGUGCAAGGAUGACAUGCAAAUUCGUAGGUGUUCCAUAUUAAA